rnacentral:rRNA from 1 species
GCGACGCCGCGUGAAGGAAGAAGGUCUUCGGAUCGUAAACUUCUUUGAUGAGGGACGAAGGAAGUGACGGUACCUCAAGAACAAGCCACGGCUAACUACGUGCCAGCAGCCGCGGUAAUACGUAGGUGGCGAGCGUUGUCCGGAAUUACUGGGUGUAAAGGGCGUGUAGGCGGGGGUGCAAGUCAGAUGUGAAAUACCGUGGCUUAACCGCGGGGCUGCAUCUGAAACUGCGCUUCUUGAGUGCUGGAGAGGAAAGCGGAAUUCCUAGUGUAGCGGUGAAAUGCGUAGAUAUUAGGAGGAACACCAGUGGCGAAGGCGGCUUUCUGGACAGUAACUGACGCUGAGGCGCGAAAGCGUGGGGAGCAAACAGGAUUAGAUACCCUGGUAGUCCACGCCGUAAACGAUGGAUACUAGGUGUAGGAGGUAUCGACCCCUUCUGUGCCGGAGUUAACACAAUAAGUAUCCCACCUGGGGAGUACGGCCGCAAGGUUGAAACUCAAA